rnacentral:lncRNA from 1 species
UUAGGAAUGAGAUGGAUUAGGAAGACCAGCUGAAUGGAAAGUAACCUAAAGUACUCAAAUGUGAACACAACAUUUGUGUUGGCUGGUAACAUUGUCACUUAUCGCACACUUACAUAUACGGCAAAGCAGAGUCAGAUAUGAAUUAGAUCUAUUUUGAUAUGUGAAUUUGCGUGGUAGGUAAGGGAUGAGGAUAGUCCCGACUAGUAGUUUGUUACACGGCUACC